rnacentral:rRNA from 1 species
UACGUAGGGUGCAAGCGUUGUCCGGAUUUAUUGGGUUUAAAGGGUGCGUAGGCGGGCUAUUAAGUCAGUGGUGAAAUCCAGCAGCUUAACUGUUGAUGUGCCAUUGAUACUGGUAGCCUUGAGUACAGAUGAGGUAGGCGGAAUUGACAGUGUAGCGGUGAAAUGCAUAGAUAUUGUCAAGAACUCCGAUAGCGAAGGCAGCUUACUGGGCUGUAACUGACGCUGAUGCACGAAAGUGUGGGGAUCAAACAGG